rnacentral:rRNA from 1 species
UACAGAGGGGGCAAGCGUUAUUCGGAAUUAUUGGGCGUAAAGGGCGCGUAGGCGGCUUUGCAAGUGGCGGGUGAAAUCCCUCGGCUUAACCGAGGAACUGCCUCCCAAACUGCUUGGCUUGAGACCAGGAGAGGUGAGUGGAAUUCCCAGUGUAGCGGUGAAAUGCGUAGAUAUUGGGAGGAACACCAGUGGCGAAGGCGGCUCACUGGACUGGUACUGACGCUGAUGCGCGAAAGCGUGGGGAGCAAACGGG